AUUGAACGCUGGCGGCAGGCCUAACACAUGCAGGUCGAGCGGAUGAAGGGAGCUUGCUCCUGGAUUCAGCGGCGGACGGGUGAGUAAUGCCUAGGAAUCUGCCUGGUAGUGGGGGAUAACGUCCGGAAACGGGCGCUAAUACCGCAUACGUCCUGAGGGAGAAAGUGGGGGAUCUUCGGACCUCACGCUAUCAGAUGAGCCUAGGUCGGAUUAGCUAGUUGGUGGGGUAAAGGCCUACCAAGGCGACGAUCCGUAACUGGUCUGAGAGGAUGAUCAGUCACACUGGAACUGAGACACGGUCCAGACUCCUACGGGAGGCAGCAGUGGGGAAUAUUGGACAAUGGGCGAAAGCCUGAUCCAGCCAUGCCGCGUGUGUGAAGAAGGUCUUCGGAUUGUAAAGCACUUUAAGUUGAGAGGAAGGGCAGUAAGUUAAUACCUUGCUGUUUUGACGUUACCAACAGAAUAAGCACCGGCUAACUUCGUG
rnacentral:rRNA from 1 species